UCAGCUAGUAUUAUAUAUGUGUGUAACAUACAAUACUGUUAACAGCCUACCGUCAACUACCUACCUUAUUAUUAUUAUAAUCAUGACAAAAUAAACAUUGCACAAUGCACAUGUAUGGUAAUUUUUAAAUUUUGUAUUUAACUAUAUUUGACGACUGAUGUAGGCCUAUAUAAAGAAGUAUAAUAAUAUUACAGCAUGGACACCGCGAUACCAUCAUCACACUUCACGUUGAUAGACACCACGCAUAGUUCAAAACAAAGAAAAAGGUAAAACGAGUUCUACCAGACUGGCUCACCAAACCUACAACAGUUGUAUCGAUCGAUUCAAAACACCUAUAGAAGCGCUCACUUACGGCAUUCCAGACACCCCGCUUUAAUUCAGAAACUGGAAAAUGAAGGAUUUCAAAAUCAACUAUAGUACCAUGGAUAAUUAAGACACAAACACAUUUGGACUACAGAUGGCUCAGUGACGUAUGUAUUUCAGCAGCGACUGGCAGUUAAAAAAUUUUCUCUCAUGUUCUUCUUAAAAUUCAGGUUGGGCGUGCUCAUUCAAUGCAUUAAAACCAAAAUUUAUUCAGAA
rnacentral:lncRNA from 1 species